GAGGGUAUAGCUCAGCAGUAGAGCGCCUGCUUAGCACCCACGAGGUCCUGGGUUCAAUCCUCAGUACUCCCA
rnacentral:tRNA from 1 species